rnacentral:rRNA from 1 species
AGCGAACGUUUGCGGCGGGCCUAACACAUGCAAGUCGAACGGGCAGUCCCUUCGGGGGCUGUCAGUGGCGCACGGGUGCGUAACACGUAGGUAAUCAACCCUCGGGUUCGGGAUAACACUUCGAAAGGGGUGCUAAUACCGGAUGCGACGAGCGUCUCCUCGGAGAUGCACGGGAAAGAUCCGCAAGGGUCGCCCGAGGACGAGCCUGCGGCCCAUCAGCUUGUUGGUGAGGUAAUGGCUCACCAAGGCUAAGACGGGUAGCUGGUCUGAGAGGAUGAUCAGUCACACUGGAACUGAGACACGGUCCAGACUCCUACGGGAGGCAGCAGUGGGAAUAUUGCGCAAUGGGCGAAAGCCUGACGCAGCCACGCCGCGUGAGCGAUGAAGGCC